UGCAAAAGGGAAAAUGCAGCAUGAGCUCCAGAAGUGCCCGGGGAGUUGCUGUGAUGUAUUGUGGGGUUGUUAGUUUCAACAACUUCACUGCAGGCCUUCACUCAACCUGCAGAUCAAGCAUUGGAACAAGGUUUACGGCAGAGAACAGGCACCCAAUGGAGAGACAAGUCUACCAUUAAUGCACCAAAGAUCCAGCUGAUUACUGGCAAUUUGGAGGAGGAUUCUUCUUUAUCUGCUACGUUGCACUGUCACUUCUGGUACAGAUUCAUUGACCUUUUGUAUGUUUUGAUUUUACUUAGUAGUACACUGCCUAUUUAAGGGUUCUAAAUCAAGAAUGUAAUGCUUGUCCACAAAUACUACAAAUAUUGUCAGAACGACAGUAUACAGAGCCGCCAAGGGUCAGGAGAAUAAUGUGGAAAACAAAACUGAAAUGGAAAAUACAAGCUAAAAAACAACAGACCACAACCCCCUCAGCCCAAAAGCUCUCCACCUGUUUCAAAGGUGAAAUCAUGACCUCAUCAUGAUAGUACUGUUAACAGACAAGAUACACAUAUGGAGAAAUAGAAUUUUUAGUUUUUCAACUCCCCCUCUGGGAUCUGAAGAACUGUUUGUGAAUAAUUGGUUGAUAUUGUAAAUUUACAACUCAAUACAUUAAAUAAAGGGGUUUUAGA